AGCUUGUUGGUGAGGUAACGGCUCACCAAGGCGACGACGGGUAGCCGGCCUGAGAGGGCGACCGGCCACACUGGGACUGAGACACGGCCCAGACUCCUACGGGAGGCAGCAGUGGGGAAUAUUGCACAAUGGGCGAAAGCCUGAUGCAGCGACGCCGCGUGAGGGAUGACGGCCUUCGGGUUGUAAACCUCUUUCAGCAGGGAAGAAGCGAGAGUGACGGUACCUGCAGAAGAAGCGCCGGCUAACUACGUGCCAGCAGCCGCGGUAAUACGUAGGGCGCAAGCGUUGUCCGGAAUUAUUGGGCGUAAAGAGCUCGUAGGCGGCUUGUCGCGUCGGUUGUGAAAGCCCGGGGCUUAACCCCGGGUCUGCAGUCGAUACGGGCAGGCUAGAGUUCGGUAGGGGAGAUCGGAAUUCCUGGUGUAGCGGUGAAAUGCGCAGAUAUCAGGAGGAACACCGGUGGCGAAGGCGGAUCUCUGGGCCGAUACUGACGCUGAGGAGCGAAAGCGUGGGGAGCGAACAGGAUUAGAUACCCUGGUAGUCCACGCCGUAAACGGUGGGCACUAGGUGUGGGCGACAUUCCACGUCGUCCGUGCCGCAGCUAACGCAUUAAGUGCCCCGCCUGGGGAGUACGGA
rnacentral:rRNA from 1 species